GCAUCUUUGGCCGAGUUGGUUAAGGCGCCGUCUUAAGGCGGCGGUUCCUUCGGGAGCAUGGGUUCGAGUCCCAUAGGAUGCA